rnacentral:rRNA from 1 species
UACGUAGGGGGCAAGCGUUAAUCGGAAUUACUGGGCGUAAAGCGUGCGCAGGCGGUUUUGUAAGUCAGAUGUGAAAUCCCCGGGCUUAACCUGGGAACUGCGUUUGAAACUACAAGGCUAGAGUGUGGCAGAGGGGGGUGGAAUUCCACGUGUAGCAGUGAAAUGCGUAGAGAUGUGGAGGAACACCGAUGGCGAAGGCAGCCCCCUGGGUUAACACUGACGCUCAGGCACGAAAGCGUGGGGAGCAAACAGG